AACGAACGUUAGCGGCGCGCCUAACACAUGCAAGUCGAGCGAGAAAGGGCUUCGGCCCCGGUACAGCGGCGCACGGGUGAGUAACACGUAGGUAAUCUACCCCUGAAUGGUGGAUAACCCUCCGAAAGGAGGGCUAAUACAGCAUAAGACCACGGCUUCUUCGGAGGCUGAGGCCAAAGCGGGCCACUUCUCGAAAGCUCGCGUUUGGGGAUGAGCCUGCGGCCCAUCAGCUAGUGGCGGUGUAAUAGACCACCAAGGCUAAGACGGGUAGCUGGUCUGAGAGGAUGAACAGCCACACUGGAACUGAGACACGGUCCAGACUCCUACGGGAGGCAGCAGUGGGGAAUUUUGCGCAAUGGGGGAAACCCUGACGCAGCAACGCCGCGUGGAGGAUGAAGUCCCUUGGGACGUAAACUCCUUUCGACCGGGACGAUAAUGACGGUACCGGUGGAAGAAGCCCCGGCUAACUUCGUGCCAG
rnacentral:rRNA from 1 species